UCGCAAUUCGAUUUUAAACAUCCUCAUGGCCAAAUCGGAGCAAAAAGACUGGCGGAUUGAUCGAAAACUACGGGUAAAGACCAGUGCCGCCGCCGUGAGAAAAAAUAAAAAUCGCCUCCGAUGAGACCCUACCCGAUUCCCGUUUUGUGUAAUUUUUUCACCAUUGUGAUCAACAUCCCUUUCUCUACAGGUUGACCGAAGCGAAACACCCAACUACGAAUGUGAGCUGGUGGAGCCGCCACACCAGAGAAUCCUGCCACCAGUAAACUUCGAUUUUUUUGACUUUUUUCAACUAACUGAGGCCUUUUAAUGUAUUUUCUCGCAGGAAUUGAUACAAAACUGGUCAAAUUCGGCCGAAAACAGCGAAUCUAAGGCAAACCGUUGUCUCAG
rnacentral:lncRNA from 1 species